rnacentral:rRNA from 1 species
GACGAACGCUGGCGGCGUGCUUAACACAUGCAAGUCGAACGAAGAGCGAUGGAAGCUUGCUUCUAUCAAUCUUAGUGGCGAACGGGUGAGUAACGCGUAAUCAACCUGCCCUUCAGAGGGGGACAACAGUUGGAAACGACUGCUAAUACCGCAUACGAUCCAAUCUCGGCAUCGGGACUGGAUGAAAGGUGGCCUCUAUUUAUAAGCUAUCACUGAAGGAGGGGAUUGCGUCUGAUUAGCUAGUUGGUGGGGUAACGGCCCAACAAGGCGAAGAUCAGUAGCCGGUCUGGGAGGAGGGACGGCCAAAUUGGGACUGGGUCACGGCCCAGACUCCUACGGGAGGCAGCAGUGGGGAAUCUUCCGCAAUGGACGAAAGUCUGACGGAGCAACGCCGCGUGAGUGAUGACGGCCUUCGGGUUGUAAAGCUCUGUUAAUCGGGACGAAUGGUUCUUGUGCGAAUAGUGCGAGGAUUUGACGGUACCGGAAUAGAAAGCCACGGCUAACUACGUG